UUCCUACGGGUGGCAGCAGUGGGGAAUAUUGGACAAUGGGCGAAAGCCUGAUCCAGCCAUGCCGCGUGAGUGAUGAAGGCCCUAGGGUUGUAAAGCUCUUUCAGCGGGGAAGAUAAUGACGGUACCCGCAGAAGAAGCCCCGGCUAACUUCGUGCCAGCAGCCGCGGUAAUACGAAGGGGGCUAGCGUUGUUCGGAAUCACUGGGCGUAAAGCGCGUGUAGGCGGAUUGUUAAGUCAGGGGUGAAAUCCUGAGGCUCAACCUCAGAACUGCCUUUGAUACUGGCGAUCUUGAGUCCGGGAGAGGUGAGUGGAACUCCUAGUGUAGAGGUGAAAUUCGUAGAUAUUAGGAAGAACACCAGUGGCGAAGGCGGCUCACUGGCCCGGUACUGACGCUGAUAUGCGAAAGCGUGGGGAGCAAACAGGAUUAGAUACCCGUGUAGUCAUU
rnacentral:rRNA from 1 species